rnacentral:lncRNA from 1 species
UUCUGUUUUGCUUUUCUUUUACAGUAUUCAAUGGUGUAUUCUUUGACCUCAAUUUUGAAUAAGUCCCAAUGGUGUCCAAUAUUUUUGGUAAGUUUUGGAUUGUUUUUAUAUUUAUGAAUUAGGCCAUUUAUUAUGUUUUUAUAUUCAAUAUUAUCCAAAAUGCUGUUAUUAAUUUUAAAAUAUCCUUUCCCUUUUGAUUGUGAUCUCCCUUUCAACUUUAGUGAUAUAGCUUGGUGGUCUGUGUGAGAUAUAAGUGCAGGUCUUAUAU